UACGAAGGGGGCUAGCGUUGCUCGGAAUCACUGGGCGUAAAGCGCACGUAGGCGGGUUUUUAAGUCAGGGGUGAAAUCCUGGAGCUCAACUCCAGAACUGCCUUUGAUACUGAAGAUCUUGAGUCCGGGAGAGGUGAGUGGAACUGCGAGUGUAGAGGUGAAAUUCGUAGAUAUUCGCAAGAACACCAGUGGCGAAGGCGGCUCACUGGCCCGGUACUGACGCUGAGGCACAAAAGCGUGGGGAGCAAACAGG
rnacentral:rRNA from 1 species